rnacentral:rRNA from 1 species
AGGGCACCACCAGGAGUGGAGCCUGCGGCUUAAUUUGACUCAACACGGGAAAACUCACCUGGCCCGGACACCGUGAGGAUUGACAGAUUGAGAGCUCUUUCUUGAUUCGGUGGUUGGUGGUGCAUGGCCGUUCUUAGUUGGUGGAGUGAUUUGUCUGGUUUAUUCCGAUAACGAGCGAGACUCUAGCCUACUAAAUAGUUACUGGAUAAUUGCGUCCAGAAGACUUCUUAGAGGGACAAGCGGUGUUCAGCCGCACGAAGCUGAGCAAUAACAGGUCUGUGAUGCCCUUAGAUGUCCAGGGCUGCACGCGCGCUACACUGGAGGAAUCAGCGUGCUGUAACCAUUGCCGAAAGGCAUUGGUAACCCCUUGAAAAUCCUCCGUGAUCGGGAUCGGGAAUUGCAAUUAUUUCCCUUGAACGAGGAAUUCCUAGUAAGUGUGAGUCAUCAGCUCACGUUGAUUACGUCCCUGCCCUUUGUACACACCGCCCGUCGCUGCCCGGGACUGAGCCGUUUCGAGAA